UACGGGGGGGGCAAGCGUUGUUCGGAAUUACUGGGCGUAAAGGGCUCGUAGGCGGCCAACUAAGUCAUACGUGAAAUCCCCCGGCUUAACCGGGGAACUGCGUCUGAUACUGGAUGGCUUGAGUUCGGGAGAGGGAUGCGGAAUUCCAGGUGUAGCGGUGAAAUGCGUAGAUAUCGGAAGGAACACCGGUGGCGAAAGCGGCGCGCUGGGCCUCUUCUGACGCUGAGGCGCGAAGGCCAGGGGAGCAAACGGG
rnacentral:rRNA from 1 species